rnacentral:rRNA from 1 species
UGCCUACGGGGGGCAGCAGUGAGGGAUAUUGGUCAAUGGGGGAAACCCUGAACCAGCAACGCCGCGUGAGGGAAGACGGUUUUCGGAUUGUAAACCUCUGUCCUCUGUGAAGAUAAUGACGGUAGCAGAGGAGGAAGCUCCGGCUAACUACGUGCCAGCAGCCGCGGUAAUACGUAGGGAGCAAGCGUUGUCCGGAUUUACUGGGUGUAAAGGGUGCGUAGGCGGCCUUGCAAGUCAGAAGUGAAAUCCAUGGGCUUAACCCGUGAACUGCUUUUGAAACUGUAGGGCUUGAGAUGUCGAGAGGG